rnacentral:rRNA from 1 species
GCAACCCUUAUCCUUUGUUGCCAGCGCGUCAUGGCGGGAACUCAAAGGAGACUGCCGGUGAUAAACCGGAGGAAGGUGGGGAUGACGUCAAGUCAUCAUGGCCCUUACGAGUAGGGCUACACACGUGCUACAAUGGCGCAUACAAAGAGAAGCGACCUCGCGAGAGCAAGCGGACCUCACAAAGUGCGUCGUAGUCCGGAUCGGAGUCUGCAACUCGACUCCGUGAAGUCGGAAUCGCUAGUAAUCGUGGAUCAGAAUGCCACGGUGAAUACGUU